rnacentral:rRNA from 1 species
CCUACGGGUGGCAGCAGUGGGGAAUUUUGGACAAUGGGGGCAACCCUGAUCCAGCAAUGCCGCGUGAGUGAAGAAGGCCUUCGGGUUGUAAAGCUCUUUUGUCAGGGAAGAAACGGCCGAGGCUAAUACCUUUGGCUAAUGACGGUACCUGAAGAAUAAGCACCGGCUAACUACGUGCCAGCAGCCGCGGUAAUACGUAGGGUGCAAGCGUUAAUCGGAAUUACUGGGCGUAAAGCGUGCGCAGGCGGUUUUGUAAGUCUGACGUGAAAUCCCCGGGCUCAACCUGGGAAUUGCGUUGGAGACUGCAAGGCUGGAGUCUGGCAGAGGGGGGUAGAAUUCCACGUGUAGCAGUGAAAUGCGUAGAGAUGUGGAGGAACACCGAUGGCGAAGGCAGCCCCCUGGGUCAAGACUGACGCUCAUGCACGAAAGCGUGGGGAGCA